rnacentral:lncRNA from 1 species
GGGCUAUUUUUUUUUUUUUUUUACCUACACUGCCUACACGAGUGUAGCUAGUGUAGAAAGUCGCCAUGUUUUUUUUUUUUUUUACUUGGUGUAGAAAACUGUUGCUUU